rnacentral:miRNA from 1 species
AGGGAUUCAUGCAAGUGCUUU